UCCUGGCUCAGAGCGACGCUGGCGGCAGGCUUAACACAUGCAAGUCGAGCGGGCGUAGCAAUACGUCAGCGGCAGACGGGUGAGUAACGCGUGGGAACGUACCUUUUGGUUCGGAACAACACAGGGAAACUUGUGCUAAUACCGGAUAAGCCCUUACGGGGAAAGAUUUAUCGCCGAAAGAUCGGCCCGCGUCUGAUUAGCUAGUUGGUGAGGUAACGGCUCACCAAGGCGACGAUCAGUAGCUGGUCUGAGAGGAUGAUCAGCCACAUUGGGACUGAGACACGGCCCAAACUCCUACGGGAGGCAGCAGUGGGGAAUAUUGGACAAUGGGCGCAAGCCUGAUCCAGCCAUGCCGCGUGAGUGAUGAAGGCCCUAGGGUUGUAAAGCUCUUUUUGUGCGGGAAGAUAAUGACGGUACCGCAAGAAUAAGCCCCGGCUAACUUCGUG
rnacentral:rRNA from 1 species